UACAGAGGUCUCGAGCGUUAGGCGGAAUCACUGGGCUUAAAGCGUGUGUAGGCGGAUCGUUAAGUACCUUGUGAAAUCCCACGGCUUAACCGUGGAACUGCUUGGUAUACUGGCGGUCUUGAGCCAGCUAGGGGCUACCGGAACAAAUGGUGGAGCGGUGAAAUGCGUAGAUAUCAUUUGGAACGCCAAUGGUGAAAACAGGUAGCUGGGGCUGUGCUGACGGCUGGAGACACGGAAAGCCAGGGGAGCAAACGGG
rnacentral:rRNA from 1 species